GCAGUACAUAAAAAGAAGUCUAAAUCAUAAAAAAUCUAGGCUGUUUAGAAAAAAGGUCAAUGUUAUGAAAGAGAAAAAGGUAGUAGAUUGUUCUAGAUUAAGAACUGAGAAUUGACAAACACCACCUGGAUCAGAAAGACAAACACACACACAAACAACAACAGCCAGAAAAGCUAAAAAGGAUAAUUUUGGAAAAUGUGAAUGUGGACUGAAUAGUAGAAUGGCAUUAUUAAAUCAACGUGAAUUAGACUGAAUAGUAGAAAGGCAUUAUUAAAUAAAUGUGAAAUGUUCUUGGGUAUGAUGAUAUGUAGAUAUUCUUCUACGUUCUGUAGAUGAAUGUCCUUGUUCUUAGGAGACACAUAAUGAAGUUUAGGGGUGGAGCGUCAUUGUAUUGGCCAUUUAUUUUCAAAGAGUUUAACAACAACAAUAAAAAUGAAGUGUGUUCCAGUGUCUAAAUAUACACAAAUAAAUGCACACAAAUAUGACAAAGUACCAGAAACCAAUGAUCUAGGUGAAGGAUAUGCAGGGAUUUACUGAAUAACCCCCACGCUUCCCAUAUUUUUCCAAUGGUUUGAAAUUUUUCAAAGUAAGUAGUUGGGGACAAAAUUCUAGGGUAGCUAAGAUAUUUACAUAUAAUCUAUACAAGAGAGACUGUCAUGGGUUACUCAGUCACAAAUUCCACUAGUGACUUUUUUUUUUUUUUUUUUUUUUUUUUUGAGACAGAGUCUUGCUCUGUCACCCAGGCCGGAAUGCAGUGGUAUAAUCUCAGCUCACUGCAACCUCUGCCUCCCAGGCUCAAGCGAUUCUUGUGCCUCAGCCUCCCGAGUAGCUGGGAUCACGGGCAUGCGCCACCACGCUCAGCUAAUUGUUGUAUUUUUGGUAGAUAUGGGGUUUUUUCAUGUUGAUCAGGCUGGUCUCAAACUCCUGGCCUCAAGUGAUCCACCUGCCUUGGCCUCCCAAAGUGCUGGGAUUACAGGUGUGAGCCACCGCAGACAGCCACACUAGUCACUUUUAUUAUAAUGAAAAAUAAGCAUUGAUUUUUAUAAGCAAGCUCCCCAUUUACUGCUUGUUUCAUUUCUUUUUUCCUGUUCUACUUAAAAUUUAAAAAGGGCAUAGCAAGAUGAAAACACAACCUUGAGCUUCACUUUCUUUAUGUCUGGGUAAAUUUUUUUUUAAUAUGGUAGCCAUUUUAACUUUUCUUUUCUUUUUUUUUUUUUUAAGAUGGGGUCUCGCUAUGUUGCCCAGGCUGGACUCAAACUUCUGGGCUGAAUUAAUCUUCUCACCUCAGCCUCUCCGGUAGCUGGAGUACAGGAGUUUGCUGGACGCAAAAUGAUGGACGGCGCUGUCAACCAAGUAAGCUGAUUUCUACUACAAAGUCAUUUUCACCCAUCUUGGAUGCAAACUGGUAAGGAGCUUUACAACACAUCUAUUUCCCACACUUAAACUUAUGUUAAACUUUCCCAUCUCCAACUCACACGUCACUGGUAUUCAACCUUUAUUAGAAAGUCACAACUAAAGCUGGUCAACACCCUUAAUCAUCACAGCUUGCUCCCCGCCAGAGCCCAUUCAAACAGCCCCACAUCACUCACCUUGGGCGCACAGUCCAUGAUGCCUGUUCCCUUCAUGUCGGUGAUGUGGAGCAGCUCCCCUGAGCUCUGCA
rnacentral:lncRNA from 10 species